UACGUAGGGUGCAAGCGUUGUCCGGAAUUAUUGGGCGUAAAGAGCUCGUAGGUGGCCUGUCGCGUCGGCUGUGAAAACUCGGGGCUCAACUCCGAGCUUGCAGUCGAUACGGGCAGGCUAGAGUUCGGCAGGGGAGACUGGAAUUCCUGGUGUAGCGGUGAAAUGCGCAGAUAUCAGGAGGAACACCAAUUGCGAAGGCGAGUCCCUGGACAACACCUGACACUGAGGCACGAAAGCUAGGGGAGCAAACAGG
rnacentral:rRNA from 1 species